rnacentral:rRNA from 1 species
CCUAACACAUGCAAGUCGAACGGUAACAUUUCUAGCUUGCUAGAAGAUGACGAGUGGCGGACGGGUGAGUAAUGCUUGGGAACUUGCCUUUGCGAGGGGGAUAACAGUUGGAAACGACUGCUAAUACCGCAUAAUGUCUUCGGACCAAACGGGGCUUAGGCUCCGGCGCAAAGAGAGGCCCAAGUGAGAUUAGCUAGUUGGUAAGGUAACGGCUUACCAAGGCGACGAUCUCUAGCUGUUCUGAGAGGAAGAUCAGCCACACUGGGACUGAGACACGGCCCAGACUCCUACGGGAGGCAGCAGUGGGGAAUAUUGCACAAUGGGGGAAACCCUGAUGCAGCCAUGCCGCGUGUGUGAAGAAGGCCUUCGGGUUGUAAAGCACUUUCAGUUGUGAGGAAAAGUUAGUAGUUAAUACCUGCUAGCCGUGACGUUAACAACAGAAGAAGCACCGGCUAACUCCGUGCCAGCAGCCGCGGUAAUACGGAGGGUGCGAGCGUUAAUCGGAAUUACUGGGCGUAAAGCGCACGCAGGCGGUUUGUUAAGCUAGAUGUGAAAGCCCCGGGCUCAACCUGGGAUGGUCAUUUAGAACUGGCAGACUAGAGUCUUGGAGAGGGGAGUGGAAUUCCAGGU